rnacentral:rRNA from 1 species
GACGAACGCUGGCGGCGCGCCUAACACAUGCAAGUCGAACGGAGUCAAGAGGAGCUUGCUUUUCUUGACUUGGUGGCGAACGGGUGAGUAACGCGUGAGUAACCUGCCCUGGAGUGGGGGACAACAGUUGGAAACGACUGCUAAUACCGCAUAAGCCCACGGAUCCGCAUGGAUCUGCGGGAAAAGGAUUUAUUCGCUUCAGGAUGGACUCGCGUCCAAUUAGCUAGUUGGUGAGGUAACGGCCCACCAAGGCGACGAUUGGUAGCCGGACUGAGAGGUUGAACGGCCACAUUGGGACUGAGACACGGCCCAGACUCCUACGGGAGGCAGCAGUGGGGGAUAUUGCACAAUGGGGGAAACCCUGAUGCAGCGACGCCGCGUGGAGGAAGAAGGUUUUCGGAUUGUAAACUCCUGUCGUUAGGGACGAUAAUGACGGUACCUAACAAGAAAGCACCGGCUAACUACGUG